AUAACGAUAAACAGAAAUGGUGCUUAACGUAAUAUUAAAGAGAUCGUUGGAGACUCCAAUGCUUUUUCUGCGAAAGAUAGUUCUGAAUAAAAAUUUUGAGUUUAUGUUCAAACGAAAUUAUGUGAAUAAUGAAUAUAUUGCCAAAACUGAAACUAAGGGACCUCUUUCUGGUGUGAGAAUUAUUGACUUAACUAGAAUCUUGGCUGGUCCUUUUUGUACAAUGAUACUUGGUGACCUAGGAGCUGAAGUCAUAAAAAUUGAACACCCAGGAGGUGGAGAUGAGACAAGACGAUGGGGACCCCCAUUUGUGAAAGAAGAAAGCUGCUAUUUCUUAUGUGUCAAUAGGAAUAAAAAAAGUGUUGCAGUCAACCUGAAAGACACUAGAGGACAGUCUUUGGUGAAAGAUCUAGCUAAACAAUCAGAUGUAUUGGUUGAGAAUUACCUACCAGGAAAGUUGGAUGAACUAGGAUUAGGUUUUACCCAAGUUUCUGAAGUAGCACCCCAGUUAGUCUACUGCUCAAUAUCAGGUUAUGGUCCAAGUGGUCCAUACAAGACCAGAGCUGGCUAUGAUGUAAUUGCGGCUUCAAUAGGAGGCCUGCUCCACAUUACAGGGCCACCAAAUGGAGAUCCAUGCAAAGUUGGUGUAGCCAUGACUGACCUUGCCACAGGAUUGUAUGCACAUGGAGCAAUCUUAGCAGCAUUGUUGGAAAGGGAGAAAACAGGUCGAGGUCAAAAGAUAGAUUGUAAUCUUCUGUCUACGCAGGUGUCACUACUUGCCAAUCUUGGAUCCAAUUACCUGAAUGCUGGUAAAGAGGCCAUACGUUGGGGAACUGCUCAUGAGAGCAUAGUUCCGUAUCAAGCUUUCCAAACCAGUGACGGGUAUAUUACUGUUGGUGCAGGUAGUGAUGAACAAUUUCAGAUUUUUUGUAAGUGUUUGGGCUUACAGCAUCUACUGACUGAUUCAAGGUAUAAAACCAACAGAAAUCGUGUAGCAAAUCGACAAGCUCUCCUUUAUGAACUGUCGUCUAGGCUCAGUGAUGAUGAACAUCUUCACGCAGUCGGAAUGCUGCAGGCUGGCGUGACACAGAACAUUGUUGCAAGACAUUCCGGAGUCCAUCGAAACACCAUCCACUCUUUAUGGCAAUGGCUCCAACAAGCAGGAAAUGUCUGAGAUCGAUCACGUCGACAAGACAGCCAUAUUUGAUUGGUUCACCUUAGAAAUCGUUUCCAGACUGCAAUUUUGACUACUCGCAUCAUUCCUGGUCUUCAACUGAUUAGUCCCAGAACAGUGCAUAACCGUCUGCACCAAAUCAGCCAAUAACGUUGGUGGAUCUGGGCACAACAUUAAACAACAUCUGGAAUAACAUUCCACAGGCAUUUUUGAACAAUUUAGUGUCAUCAAUGAGGUGCCAUUGUCAAGCAUGUGUGGAUGCAAAUGGUGGACACACACGAUAUUAGCCCUGUUUCUUCAACACUCCACUGAUCACUGGAUGGAAGCAUUUAAUGGUUCUGGCAUUCCAUAUGGACCAAUCAACAACAUUGAGCAAGUUUUUAAUGAUCCACA
rnacentral:misc_RNA from 1 species